AUCGGCCACAUUGGGACUGAGACACGGCCCAAACUCCUACGGGAGGCAGCAGUAGGGAAUCUUCCACAAUGGACGCAAGUCUGAUGGAGCAACGCCGCGUGAGUGAAGAAGGUCUUCGGAUCGUAAAACUCUGUUGUUAGAGAAGAACACGAGUGAGAGUAACUGUUCAUUCGAUGACGGUAUCUAACCAGCAAGUCACGGCUAACUACGUGCCAGCAGCCGCGGUAAUACGUAGGUGGCAAGCGUUGUCCGGAUUUAUUGGGCGUAAAGGGAACGCAGGCGGUCUUUUAAGUCUGAUGUGAAAGCCUUCGGCUUAACCGGAGUAGUGCAUUGGAAACUGGAAGACUUGAGUGCAGAAGAGGAGAGUGGAACUCCAUGUGUAGCGGUGAAAUGCGUAGAUAUAUGGAAGAACACCAGUGGCGAAAGCGGCUCUCUGGUCUGUAACUGACGCUGAGGUUCGAAAGCGUGGGUAGCAAACAGGAUUAGAUACCCUGGUAGUCCACGCCGUAAACGAUGAAUGCUAGGUGUUGGAGGGUUUCCGCCCUUCAGUGCCGCAGCUAACGCAAUAAGCAUUCCGCCUGGGGAGUACGACCGCAAGGUUGAAACUCAAAGGA
rnacentral:rRNA from 1 species